CGAGUGGCGAACGGGUGAGUAAUGCAUCGGAACGUGCCCAAUCGUGGGGGAUAACGCAGCGAAAGCUGUGCUAAUACCGCAUACGAUCUACGGAUGAAAGCGGGGGAUCGCAAGACCUCGCGCGAUUGGAGCGGCCGAUGGCAGAUUAGGUAGUUGGUGGGGUAAAGGCUCACCAAGCCUUCGAUCUGUAGCUGGUCUGAGAGGACGACCAGCCACACUGGGACUGAGACACGGCCCAGACUCC
rnacentral:rRNA from 1 species